rnacentral:rRNA from 1 species
UAACACGUGGGGAACCUGCCCCAUAGUCUGGGAUACCACUUGGAAACAGGUGCUAAUACCGGAUAAGAAAGCGGAUCGCAUGAUCAGCUUUUAAAAGGCGGCGUAAGCUGUCGCUAUGGGAUGGCCCCGCGGUGCAUUAGCUAGUUGGUAAGGUAAAGGCUUACCAAGGCGAUGAUGCAUAGCCGAGUUGAGAGACUGAUCGGCCACAUUGGGACUGAGACACGGCCCAAACUCCUACGGGAGGCAGCAGCC